AUUCCAGCUCCAAUAGCGUAUAUUAAAGUUGUUGCAGUUAAAAAGCUCGUAGUUGGAUUUCUGGCCGAGUGUCCCCAGGCCAGCAUGACGUUUGGUCCUGGGCGCUCUGCCAUCCUUCUGUCAACCUUCGCCUCGUUCAUUCGUGGCGCUGGGGCUCAGAUAUUUUACCUUGAGAAAAUUAGAGUGUUUCAGGCAGGCUUUCGCCGGAAUACAUUAGCAUGGAAUAAUGGAAAAGGACUUCAACCUCUUCUGUUGGUCUGAGAGGCUGUAGUAAUGAUUAAUAGGGAUAGUUGGGGGCAUUAGUACUUAACUGUCAGAGGUGAAAUUCUCCGAUUUGUUAAAGACUAACUUAUGCGAAAGCAUUUGCCAAGGAUGUUUUCAUUG
rnacentral:rRNA from 1 species